AGGCGCGUAGCUCAGCUGGUUAGAGCACCACCUUGACAUGGUGGGGGUCGCUGGUUCGACUCCAGUCGCGCCUA
rnacentral:tRNA from 1 species